rnacentral:sRNA from 1 species
CCCCAGAUAUUUCAGUUGGGACCGGAC